AUGAACGCUGGCGGCGUGCCUAAUACAUGCAAGUCGAGCGAACAGAUCAGGAGCUUGCUCCUUUGCCGUUAGCGGCGGACGGGUGAGUAACACGUGGGUAACCUACCUAUAAGACUGGGAUAACUUCGGGAAACCGGAGCUAAUACCGGAUAAUAUUUCGAACCGCAUGGUUCGAUAGUGAAAGAUGGUUUUGCUAUCACUUAUAGAUGGACCCGCGCCGUAUUAGCUAGUUGGUAAGGUAACGGCUUACCAAGGCGACGAUACGUAGCCGACCUGAGAGGGUGAUCGGCCACACGGGAACUGAGACACGGUCCAGACUCCUACGGGAGGCAGCAGUAGGGAAUCUUCCGCAGUGGGCGAAAGCCUGACGGAGCAACGCCGCGUGAGUGAUGAAGGUCUUCGGAGCGUAAAACUCUGUUAUUAGGGAAGAACAUACGUGUAAGUAACUGUGCACGUCUUGACGGUACCUAAUCAGAAAGCCACGGCUAACUACGUG
rnacentral:rRNA from 1 species